rnacentral:rRNA from 1 species
GGAACGUGCCCGAUCGUGGGGGAUAACGCAGCGAAAGCUGUGCUAAUACCGCAUACGAUCUACGGAUGAAAGCGGGGGAUCGCAAGACCUCGCGCGGACGGAGCGGCCGAUGGCAGAUUAGGUAGUUGGUGGGAUAAAAGCUUACCAAGCCGACGAUCUGUAGCUGGUCUGAGAGGACGACCAGCCACACUGGGACUGAGACACGGCCCAGACUCCUACGGGAGGCAGCAGUGGGGAAUUUUGGACAAUGGGCGAAAGCCUGAUCCAGCCAUGCCGCGUGCAGGAUGAAGGCCUUCGGGUUGUAAACUGCUUUUGUACGGAACGAAAAAGUCUUCUCUAAUACAGGGGAGCAGGACGGUACCGUAAGAAUAAGCACCGGCUAACUACGUGCC